GGAAGCCCCUGCCAUGGCAGCCUGCAAACACAUGGCUGCCCCAUGCCAGAACCUCAGAGCAACGGGAACAUCCAAGUACAUUUUGAUAUUCCUUGGUGAAAUCCUCACUCCACUGUUGUCAACGGAGCUUUGCUGUUAACUUCAGUGUGCCCUGGAUUUCAUCUGCUUAGAAGAAAUACCGGAUUUGGAAAGAUACACUAUAGACUUUCCAGUCCCAAGAAUGUAAGAACUCACUUCUGGAUUGGCUGCAUCGUUAUAAUUACAAGGAACAAAGCCUGUUGAUCAACAUAACAUAAAUACCUUUUUAUAUGGAGCAAACUAACCUUUAUUAACUACUGUAGAGUAUAUAUUACUGUUUUGGCUCUUAUUAAGUGUACUAGUUGUUUACCCAAUAAAUAGCUUGACAUUCUGGUAAUUAAAUAUGGAGCAAUUUUAGAAACAUUUACGGAACUUUAGUAGCUGUAAAUAGCAAAAAGGAAGUGUAAUCAAUGAAAAUAAUAAUGAUGUGAUGUGUGGUACACGGACUUCAUGUUUUUAGACUUGUUUGUUCAAAGGUUUUCUCAAUACUGGUAAAAAUAUUUAUAGCAGCAUAAAGAUGAAUCAAACAGAACUCUAUAACCUUUAUCAAAUGCCCUAAAUGUGUGGCUGCAAUAAAGGC